UACAGAGGGGGCAAGCGUUGUUCGGAAUUACUGGGCGUAAAGGGCGCGUAGGCGGCCUUCUAAGUCGAACGUGAAAUCCCUGGGCUCAACCCAGGAACUGCGUCCUAUACUGGAAGGCUUGAAUCCGGGAGAGGGAUGCGGAAUUCCAGGUGUAGCGGUGAAAUGCGUAGAUAUCUGGAGGAACACCGGUGGCGAAGGCGGCAUCCUGGACCGGCAUUGACGCUGAGGCGCGAAAGCCAGGGGAGCAAACGGG
rnacentral:rRNA from 1 species